GGUACAAUUUCAGAACAAUUGAAAUACUUAUACACAACUAAUUGUCCUGACACUAAAUAAAUGCUUGUUUUGGGCCCCUUUGGGCCCUUUAUUCCUAAACCUUAGGAACCAUAACCCCAAAAAUCAAUCCCAAGCUUCCCUUUGUGGUUAUAAACAUUGUGUUAAAAUUUUAUUGAUUUCUAUUUACUUAUACUAAAGUUAUUAUCCGGAAACCAUCCGUCUUCGGACUAU
rnacentral:lncRNA from 1 species